GACGAACGCUGGCGGCGUGCUUAACACAUGCAAGUCGAACGGAAAGGCCCUGCGUUUGGGGGCAGCUCGAGAGGGGAAAGGGAGAGUAACACAAGAGUAACCCGUCCCUGGCAUAGGGCUAAGAUAUUGGGACUAGUGCUGAUAGCGCAUAGGAUCUCUCGCGGCUGGUUGGGGAAUGGAUAGCUUCGGCGGUUGGGGCUGGCCUCGCGGCAUAUCAGCUUGUUGGUGGGGUAGUGGCUUACCAAGGAGUGGACGGGUAGCCGGCCUGAGAGGGUGACCGGCCACACUGGGACUGAGAUACGGCCCAGACUCCUACGGGAGGCAGAAGUGGGGAAUAUUGCGCAAUGGGCGGAAGCCUGACGCAGCGACGCCGCGUGCGGGAUGACGGCCUUCGGGUUGUAAACCUCUUUCGCCUGUGACGAAGCGUAAGUGACGGUACCGGGAGAAGAAGCACCGGCUAACUACGUG
rnacentral:rRNA from 1 species